GGAAAUCUCACCAGGCCCGGACACUGGAAGGAUUGACAGAUUGAUAGCUCUUUCUUGAUUCGGUGGGUGGUGGUGCAUGGCCGUUCUUAGUUGGUGGAGUGAUUUGUCUGGUUAAUUCCAAUACCGAACGAGACUCUGUCCUGCUAAAUAGUGACGCGGUUCAUCGAACCGUGGGCCACUUCUUAGAGGGACUAUCGGAUUCAAACCGAUGGAAGUGUGAGGCAAUAA
rnacentral:rRNA from 1 species